UUAUAUAAUAUUCUCGGUUCUAGACAAAAUAAGAGAGAUAUCAAAUCUACAAGGAGCUAUCUAUUUAAUGUACCAAAUCUUACCUUCGCUUCAAUCUAUCUAUAAAUGGAAAUCCAAAGGGUGGUUUCCGAUUCUAAGAGAUGAGCUAUGUAAUGGAAUCAAUUACACCUCGUGUGCUCUUCAUGGUUGAUAUGCAUAAAGGGAUGACAAAAAUCACCCACCUUAUUCUGAGCAGACUUUUUCCGCUUUUCUAGAGGUUUACUAUGGUCGAACACUUUUGAUAUAUGAAGGAACAGGCAUUACAAAUCUCUCAAGAACUAGUAGAAGAACCACCUCCAAAGUGCGUUGGAAAUCUUAGAAGCUCUUGUUGCUGAUAUUGUUGCUGUUGUUGAGUUGGUAUGGGAGAUGAAGAUGAAGAUGAUGAAGAUGUGGUAGUUGAUGAAGUUUGUGAUGCAAAUCUUUCUUGCCCAUAGAGACUUGGCACAUUAACAUAAUACUGGGAUGUGAUUAUUGGAUUUCCAUGCACUUGAACUGGGUUUUGAUCAGUGUUACUAAUAACUUGAGCUAGGGCUGAGACCAUGGCAGACAUAUCUUGUUGGGAUCGAGCUGAGUAGACAGGAAACAUAUGAUCCUCCUCCUUCUCUUCCGCUUCAUUGGAAGGAAAGGGCCUCUUCCCGUGUUGUCGAUCCAGCACUUUCAGCUUGAUGAUGCCUAGCUUGUUGUGUUUGUUGUGCUAAAUCAUGCAGUUAAUAUAAAUUUCACUAGGGCUAUACUUGUUACGUUGAUGCGGGUGCUAAAUCAACAAAAGAAGAAGUGAUUUGAUGAACAAAAUAUGUAGCAGAAGAUGGAAAGAAGGAAGAGGAGAAGAAACAAGAUUGAAGACUAGAAAUAUAGGGUUUACUAUACAGAGAUUUUUUAUACCCGCAGGUUCAACUUCUUGGCGUGAGGUUUGAGAGAUGAGUGGAGAAAGAGUUCGGUCUAACUUUUGACUU